ensembl:misc_RNA Y_RNA Y RNA
GGCUGGUCUGAAGGUAGUCAGUCAUCUCACUUGAUGGCUUGGUCAGUUACAGAUUGAACUCCUUGUUAUACUCUCCCCCUUCUCACUACUGCAUUUGACUAGUCUUAA